GAGUAAUGUCUGGGAAACUGCCUGAUGGAGGGGGAUAACUACUGGAAACGGUGGCUAAUACCGCAUAACGUCGCAAGACCAAAGAGGGGGACCUUCGGGCCUCUUGCCAUCAGAUGUGCCCAGAUGGGAUUAGCUUGUUGGUGAGGUAACGGCUCACCAAGGCGACGAUCCCUAGCUGGUCUGAGAGGAUGACCAGCCACACUGGAACUGAGACACGGUCCAGACUCCUACGGGAGGCAGCAGUGGGGAAUAUUGCACAAUGGGCGCAAGCCUGAUGCAGCCAUGCCGCGUGUAUGAAGAAGGCCUUCGGGUUGUAAAGUACUUUCAGCGGGGAGGAAGGUGUUGUGGUUAAUAACCGCAGCAAUUGACGUUACCCGCAGAAGAAGCACCGGCUAACUCCGUGCCAGCAGCCGCGGUAAUACGGAGGGUGCAAGCGUUAAUCGGAAUUACUGGGCGUAAAGCGCACGCAGGCGGUCUGUCAAGUCGGAUGUGAAAUCCCCGGGCUCAACCUGGGAACUGCAUUCGAAACUGGCAGGCUUGAGUCUUGUAGAGGGGGGUAGAAUUCCAGGUGUAGCGGUGAAAUGCGUAGAGAUCUGGAGGAAUACCGGUGGCGAAGGCGGCCCCCUGGACAAAGACUGACGCUCAGGUGCGAAAGCGUGGGGAGCAAACAGGAUUAGAUACCCUGGUAGUCCACGCCGUAAACGAUGUCUACUUGGAGGUUGUGCCCUUGAGGCGUGGCUUCCGGAGCUAACGCGUUAAGUAGACCGCCUGGGGAGUACGGCCGCAAGGUUAAAACUCAAAUGAAUUGACGGGGGCCCGCACAAGCGGUGGAGCAUGUGGUUUAAUUCGAUGCAACGCGAAGAACCUUACCUGGUCUUGACAUCCACAGAAGAAUCCAGAGAUGGAUUUGUGCCUUCGGGAACUGUGAGACAGGUGCUGCAUGGCUGUCGUCAGCUCGUGUUGUGAAAUGUUGGGUUAAGUCCCGCAACGAGCGCAACCCUUAUCCUUUGUUGCCAGCGAUUAGGUCGGGAACUCAAAGGAGACUGCCAGU
rnacentral:rRNA from 1 species